UACGGAGGGUGCAAACGUUAUUCGGAAUCACUGGGCUUAAAGAGUCCGUAGGCGGCAUGUUAGGUGAGGUGUGAAAUCCCACGGCUCAACCGGAGAACUGCGUCCGAUACUGGCGAGGCUUGAAUCCGGGAGAGGGAUGUGGAAUUCCAGGUGUAGCGGUGAAAUGCGUAGAUAUCAGGAGGAACACCAGCGGCGAAGGCGGCGCUCUGGGGCCGGUACUGACACUGAGGAGCGAAAGCGUGGGUAGCAAACAGG
rnacentral:rRNA from 1 species